UUCCGGCGUGCGAGGGGCGGGGCCAGAACACUGGAGUGAAUCAAAAUUCAUCAAUGGACUCUUGAGACUGUACGUACGUGCGGACUUGACCCCUGGGGCUGACAAGUGCCAUCCAGCAGCUACCAAGAGGGAUGUCCCUUGAGGUCAAUGACCCCUGGAUUGGGUAAGCCCAAGAAUUGGGGAAUCACCAAAGUCUGCCAGAGAUGGAUAAAAGGCAGCAAAGAAUGACCCCCAAUGGCACCCUCUUUGACCUGACAAGCACCCUGCCUGUCCAGCCAGAAGGAGCAGCUGGUGACCCCCUUCUGAAGUAACAUUGCACUGAAAGAAGCCUCAAUUGGCCCUCAAUGGCAGACUCCAGUGCUUGCGGAUAGGUAUAUCUUGACACCAGUGCUUAGUGUUCAGAGCUAGCUACUGUGAGUGCGUGUGAACGUGUGUGUGUUUGAGGGGAUCAGCACCAAGGUUUAUGGUCUGACUUUUGUAUCCAUCCAAUAAACUAGAAUUGUAUGAUGAUCCUGUGAGUUGGUGCUUUGUAGCCAACAGUGGUACCCUGGUUGGGAAUCACUGCCCCACAGCCACCCCACAGUGAAUUGUUCCCAGUUCCUUAUUCCUACUUCCUAGGGAACUGGGAAUGAGGAACUUAACUUCAGCCUCCUCAAUGCUGAGCCAAGUUGAGGCAAGCUGGGUUACAAUUAGUUGGUGUCCUGUCAAAUCUCACUUCAGACUACAGGAGGAAGCUUGAGCCCAUAGCAUAGCCCAUGUUUGAGCAGCUGUCUCUUCAUGCAGAGGGGAGGGAUGUGGAAGAGCUGGAAGUUUAAUGGAACUGGGUUUGGCUGAUACAGACCAGUUUAAUAUGAAAGGGGUUUUCAAGGUGCAGGUCUACCUAAAAACUGAACUGUUCCCACAUCACCUACUGGGAACCAAUUCAUAAUUAAUAAAAUCUUACAGGGGUCAAACUGGAGCUCUAGAAGUCAUCUAGAAGUCUGCUGGAGGAAGGAUCAUCCCUAUCUAGAACAUCUCAUACAAACCAUAAUAAAAACUCUAUGGAAAACUCCUGUCAACUUGACACAACACAGACCUCAUUGUGUCAAGUGCUGUAGUUCUGAGGGCAGGGGAUGGGAAUGAGCAACCAGCCUCAGAGUGUGAGUGUGUGUAGGGAAGGUGGGAGUUGGGUACUUGCACUCAUGCCCUCUGGGGCUAAGGGGGUGAAUGACCUGUGGGUGGGGAUGUUCUUACUUUUUGGUGUUCUCUUCUCUGUGAAACACAAGGUUCAAUGAACUCCAAAUUGACCAAAGUCCCAGUCAAUUCUUUGUCACCUGCUUUGGUGGGGGAAGGGAAGGAAGGGAAGAGAGCUCAAUUUACUAGUUCCUAGGGAGCCAUGAUGAGGGGGCAUAAAUCAAGGAGGAAGCAAGGACACAGCUGGUUGUUAGAAAGAUAGCUUUUAUUGACCAAGCCGUGCAAGGAAACUCAUUGGUAAAAAAGUGCCAGUAAAAGGGGCAUGAAGGGGCAGUAGAGUUCUGGCUACAUACCAGAGUGGCCAGUUGCAGCAGCAGGUGUAGGAGGGUUGAAGAGAAAUGAAGCACAGAAUGCCUGGAGGACCAUCAGACUGAUGCCCUGGAAUGCUGAGUGUCCACAUGUGAACCCAUCACUAACUUGGUUCAAACAGCACUCAAUUUUCCACUUUCUACUGCACCUUUAAAUCAUUUGAAGCAGCUUAAAGCCAGUUUAACAGACUCAUAUGUCUACUUCAGAUUAAAACUGCAUUUAAACCAG